rnacentral:rRNA from 1 species
GGAAAAGAGUCUUAGCUCUACCUUAAUUUUUUUAUUGCACCAAACAAAACACUAGAUUUAAGAGCUAUUCAAAUAAGGCACAGCUUAUUUGAAAUGGGAUACAACCCCUAAUACUGGGUUAAUCUAGAUAUAUUAAAUAAAGUGGGCCUAAAAGCAGCCAUCUUCUAAAAAGCGUUAAAGCUUAACAUAUUAUUGUCUACAAUUCCACAAUUUUUACUUAACCCUUCAUCACUACUGAACUAUUUUAUACCCCUAUAAAAGUCAUUAUGCUAGAACUAGUAACAAGAAAUUGCCCUUCUCCAAAAUGUAUGUUUAAACCAAAAUGGACCCUCCACUGGUAGUUAACGUAAAUGUAAAAAUCAUAGUACCACACAACUAGAAAACCCUAUGACCUCCCCAACGUCAACCUUACACUAGAACAUUACAGGAAAGAUUAAAAGAGAAAGAAGGAACUCGGCAAACCACAGUCCCGCCUGUUUACCAAAAACACCGCCUCUUGCCCAAAUAUAAGAGGUCCAGCCUGCCCAGUGACAUAGUUUAACGGCCGCGGUACCCUAACCGUGCGAAGGUAGCAUAAUCACUUGUUCUUUAAAUAAGGACUCGUAUCAACGGCAUCACGAGGGCUGUACUGUCUCCUUUCUCCAAUCAGUGAAACUGAUCUCCCCGUGAAGAAGCGGGGAUUGACCUAUAAGACGAGAAGACCCCAUGGAGCUUUAAACCCAACACACACCCCUACGCACCCAAACCAAUACAGCCCAAGAGACUUGUGUGUUGGUUUUAGGUUGGGGGGACCGCGGAGUAAAAUCAAACCUCCAUGACAGACGGGCUAAUACCCUUAUCCAUGAACCACAAUUCUAAGAGCCAAUAAAUUGUUGUCUAAUGACCCAAUUACUUGAUCAACGAACCAAGUUACCCUGGGGAUAACAGCGCAAUCUACUUCAAGAGCUCCUAUCGACAAGUAGGUUUACGACCUCGAUGUUGGAUCAGGGUAUCCUAGUGGUGCAGCCGCUACUAAAGGUUCGUUUGUUCAACGAUUAAAACCCUACGUGAUCUG